rnacentral:tRNA from 1 species
GCGAGCAUGCUGGAACUGGCAGACAGGCACGUUUGAGGGGCGUGUGUCGAUGACGUGUGGGUUCGAUUCCCACUGCUCGCACCA